CGUUGCUGUUGUUCUGGCAUAGGCCGGCAGCUGUAGCUCCAAUUAGACCCCUAGCCUGGGAACCUCCAAUGCUACGGGUGUGGCCCUCAAAAGACAAAAAAAAAAAAAAAAAAAAAAAAAGUGUUGUUAAAGUAUAGUCUUAAAUCACAAGUUAGAAUCAGCUUAACAGAUUAAUAAAAGUAGGGGAGAGGUAUUUUUGAAUGAUGAAGUACAUUGAGGAUGAGGUAGAGGAAAUAACAUCACAUGUGUAAACUUAGAAGUCUACACUUCUGUUUGAGGGUUUAUAGAAGAAAUCAAAGAAGUCAUCUUUGCAGAGGAGACAAAGAAUAGGAUAUAUAGUGCUAGAGAAAAUGUCAAAACAGAGUUGUUCUAGUUGACUUCAGGAUUUUGGACUGGAUCCUAGGCACUCUACCCUCCCUCUUCUACAGAGAAUGGAUUCUCGCUGCAGUUACCAUGCCACCUCAUCUAGCACUCCAAAGGCCUUGUUCCUGCAGUCAGUGCUCUCUCCCCUGAAUUUAUUUUUUCCUAUGGGAUCAUUUCCAUAAAAUAUGAAUACACUAUGAGAGAUCACAUUUUAAAAAAAAAUUAAAAACACGUUCCCCAUCAGCCAUUUUUUUCUACACGUCUUAUAGAAAAUCAUAUGUAGCACCUGUCUGUACUCACUGCCUAUACUUUCUCACCAGUCCAUCAUUUUAUCAGGAUUUUGUCCCCAUGCUGCACUAAAACCAUUCUCACAAAGUGAUCAGUGACCUUCAUCACAUGCACUCCAGCUAAACCAAUAGCACUUAAAGAACCUGUGUCUCACUCUUUAUACAUUUCUGUUGGAUGGCAGACAUUAGUCCACCACCCUAUUGUUAACUUGAUUAUACAAUGGUUUCCUGAAGCCAUUGUCACUAGUCUUUAGUGAGGUGAAGAGUGUGGGCUUUCUUAUAAAUCAUUUUCAAUACUGUUCCUGACCUUCCACUCCUGAACAUUUGAUACCCUAAAGAUAGGUAAAGGUUUAAGAGAUGACGAACAGGUUUUCAGCUGCCUACAUUUGACGUUUCUGUGCAGUUGUCUCAAUUUGGAAUGUGCAGUCUCUGGUCAAUCUGCCUCAGAUAAAGUGAGAUGAGAGAAAUUUCCCUUUAAUAUGAAAUUUCAUUUUAAUACCCAUGUAUCUUGAGGUUGAUCAAAAGUUUUGUUUAGAACAAAGAAUCAGUCAACUUUGGGACUCUCAGUUCAGAACUCCUUGGGGACUCUUUCUUCUGUGAUCAUGAAAUUGCUAGAUAGUUAAUAGUGGAGAAAGUGCCAAUGUGUACUAGUGUUCACAGUGGGAUCACUUUUUCUUUCCAUAACAGAAGAGUUCCAUAUAUAAGUUCACAGAGAGCAGCAUACCUGCCCUCCUCUAAGUCUCUUUACAUAAUUAAUGUAGAAACAUAAGAAUGAAAAAAAUAUGGACUCAACUUCCUAACUGUGGACACACCUGCUUUCUGUGAGAGUCAGGCCCUAACAUGUUAUCUUGGAAAAAAGACAUCCUACAGAGUAAAUUGUAAUAGACUAAAAAUAUUGGAGAGUAAAAUAAAGAAAAUAAUAAACAAAAAUAAGGAUGUUAUAUUUUACAAUUAGGAAAGGAAGAUUAAUGGCUCAACUUAAUGAUUUUCAACUAUGUUGUUCUUAAUAGGAAAGCCCAGUGUAAAAUUGUACUAUGAUUUGCUAUUUAUCUGCUAGUAGAAAAGUACACAUGUGGAGUUAUAUAGUAAGAUAUACAUAAAAGCAUAAUUAUUUUACGUGUUAGAAAAUAAGUCUUAUUUUAAAAAACACAUCAUUUUUGGUGCUGUUAUAAGGGAGAAUAACUAGAAACAGUGCUGUUAUUAGAACCACUCCAGGACAAAGUUAACAGGCUUUCAAUGUUUACAUAGCUUAUAAAAUGGACUGUGUCAAAAUCAUUUAAGAAAAAUGUAGAUUAUAAAAUGUCACAUAAGAGUUCUGCCAUAUCCACUUAUGCAAUUUCUCACCUAUAUUUAUAGUUAAAUGUUGCCAAAUUUCAUUAUAAGCUGAAUAAAUUUUAGAUGUGAUAUAUGGAGGAGUUUGCUUGAUAUCCCCAGCCAUCAUAUUAAAAAGCUACCAUUACUUUCAGAGUAACAAAUUUUCCUAUUAAUAUUCAUUUAAUUUUUUAUCAUGCGCACUUACCUUGAUUAUAUUUUAUACCAUAAUUGUUUAUAAUGACCCUGGGCAUCAUCAAGUCAAUACAACUCAAUUAGAUCAUUUUAUUUCUAUGCUAACUUCAUGCCCAUAUAGCUGAAAUGGUUGUCAUAUUAUUGACAUUUUGACAUGCUGAAGGUAUACCUGCACACCAGUGCAUCUAACAAUAUUGUUUAUUUCUAUUGAUCAAGAACAAUAUCCAAGCAAGCUCUGAUCCUGCCAUUACCCUUACUUGGAAUAAUUUAAGGAUAAAAAUAAUGAAUGGCUUGGUGAGAUACAGGGAUGGGAAUAUAUAUAAUGGAUUAAGCAAAAGCAAAGGAAAGCUGAAUUCAUAUGUUGUCUCAUAGUACACUUUCAUUAAUAAUUUGCAAUUAAUUAUUCAACAUGUUAAUUAUUAACAUGUCCUAUUUUAUCAUAUUUCACCUUUGUUAGAUCUUCACUAUUUUCUAUGUGUCGACUGUCUUUCCUAUGAAACUGGAUUUCCCUCUUUAUCUUUUUUUUUUAUUCUGCUUUUUAGGGCUGCACCUGCCUGCAUAUGGAAAUUCCCAGGCGAGGAGCAGAAUCGGACCUACAGCUGCCAGCCUACGCCACAGGCACAGCAAUGCAGGAUCCGAGCAGUGUCGGUGACCUACACUGCAGCUCAUGGCUAUAUUAGAUCCCUGACCCACUGAGGGAGGCCAGGAAUCAGACCUGCAUAUUCAUGGAUCCUAGUCAGGUUCAUUUCCACUAUACCGCAGCAGGAACUCCAGAUUUCCUCUCUUUGGUGUUUGGUACCAUGUGAAUAAAACAGUAUAAAAAUAAUGGUUUUGAACUGUGUAUCAAACAAAAUAGUUUUAUAUAUUAAGUCAGAAUCCAAAAUAAAAUCUUAUUAUUCCAGUAGUAUAAAGUGAUGUGACCUAUAAAAAAUAUUGAUAGAUAAGUAAAUCAUAUCUUUAGCAGUAGAUGAAUAGGGUCAAGGAAAGAGGGCAUUCACCAGUUGCUCUUUGUCCAAAUGCUCAUUUCUCUAGUUGGUACUGGAAAAAACGAGAUUUUGUUUACAAAUUUUAAGAACACAUGGGGAAAAACAUGAGAAUUUGGAAUUUCUAGCUGAACCCUAAUUUUUAGGCCUUUGUCAUUGUUUAUUCUUGGCAAAAAUCAAUCUUAGUUUAGAAAUAAAAAGGUUUUAAUGAGCUAUUAAAAAUCUCCUUGAACGUCGGAGAGCUCUUAAAGUAAACAUUUUCACAAUUUAAAUAUGAAUAAAUGAAACCAUGUGGGUAACUUUCCUUUAAAAUAUACACGCAUUUAGAAAUUAAGGAAAAGUAUACACAGAAAACAUUGUGGGUUUUCAUCACACUCUACAUUAAGUGGUCAAUAAUGCCAUAACAUGUCUAUGAUUCAUUUAAAAUUUAAAUAUAUCUGAAACAGAAAAACAGUCACAAGAUUAGAAUAAAAAAUUUUUUACCUUAAGACAAAUCAUCAAAAUCUUUAGUGUCACCAAAAAUUAGUAAUUUUCUGACUGUACAUGGCAGUAUACUAUAAAGUGCUACUUAGAUCCAGUCUCUGCUUUCUGGGAGUUUAUAUUAAUUCAUACAUAUUAUGAGAUAAGCUCUUUUAUUCUUUCUAAAAAAGAAACUUAAUAGAUAAUAAAAUGUUUAGAGCAUGUACACUGUACCACAAAGUGUGUUGUGCUUUUCAAGACUGCAUACUUGAGAAGAAUCACAGAUACCAAGGCAAAAUCUGUAAUGAGACAGAGAGAUGGAUGGGGAGUUGAGAGCUUUUUUCUGUCACAUCUGAAAGGAAAUUUAAUUCUUACAUGAGAUUUAUUUUUAAAUGGUAACAAGAUGGUGGCUUGUCAAGCUAGAGUUUGGAGGGACAUUCUAAGUGCCUGAUGCUGCUAAUCAAGUCAAUUCAGUGCCCUGGCUAUUUUACUGUGCUACUAGCAAACUAUCCCUAUAAUGGGAAUUACUAGGAACUCUGUUUCCAGGAGGCAUCUAAUGGAGCACUGAAUCUUGGAAAGAAACAGAGAAUCAACUGCAUUUUUUUCCACUCAAGUCAUUUAAUAUUUUCCAAAUUGAUAUGAGAGACAGAAAAGAUAUGAAGAGGUUUCUAAAUGGCAGGAACUAUGUCUCAGGUAAACUCAGUAAAGCUCACAUAUACAUGUAGCUAACUAUAGUAAAUAUACAUAUUUAUCCACACUUCCCAGUCAGUGUUUUCUUCUUAGUUACUGAUGCAGGUUUACAGGACUAUUCUGUUGACUGUUUUUUCUCUCAUCAGGAAUCAUGUUCAUAAAUUGAUGUUAGAUUGUGAUGCCAGAGUGCCUUCUGUGUGAGCCAUUUCUUCAUAGCCAUUGCCUUAAUUCUUCUUUAGUACAUGCUUCUUGGCACUUGAUGACUCAAUUCAAAACUCAGUACCUCAGUUUUUUCAUACAUCAUGAGGAGUUUCCUUAUACUGUACAUGUAUGUACAUCAAUUAAAUUGAGAAAGCAUAUUUGUUUUUUGACAUUCCAGUCUCAGUACAACAAGCUUCCCAUUUUUCCUGCAUUUAUCUAAAUGGUAUGAUCUGUCCAGGACUAAGUAUUCUAAUUAUAAUGAGUUUAUAGUGUCAUUUGAAGUCCCUAUGGCUCAUUCACAAUUCUUAGCAAUGAAACAAUAUGAAG
rnacentral:lncRNA from 1 species